rnacentral:rRNA from 1 species
UACGUAGGGUGCAAGCGUUAAUCGGAAUUACUGGGCGUAAAGCGUGCGCAGGCGGUCUGUUAAGACCGAUGUGAAAUCCCCGGGCUUAACCUGGGAACUGCAUUUGUGACUGCAUGGCUGGAGUGCGGCAGAGGGGGAUGGAAUUCCGCGUGUAGCAGUGAAAUGCGUAGAUAUGCGGAGGAACACCGAUGGCGAAGGCAAUCCCCUGGGCCUGCACUGACGCUCAUGCACGAAAGCGUGGGGAGCAAACAGG